GAGUUUGAUCUUGGCUCAGGAUGAACGCUGGCGGCGUGCUUAACACAUGCAAGUCGAACGAAGCACUCAGGAGCGAUUUCGGUCAAUCCUGUUUGACUGAGUGGCGGACGGGUGAGUAACGCGUGAGUAACCUACCUCGCAGUGGGGAAUAACAGUUGGAAACGACUGCUAAUACCGCAUAAUGCAGGAGAGACCGCAUGAUCUUUC
rnacentral:rRNA from 1 species